rnacentral:rRNA from 1 species
UACGGAGGGAGCUAGCGUUGCUCGGAAUCACUGGGCGUAAAGCGCACGUAGGCGGACUCUUAAGUCGGUGGUGAAAUCCUGGAGCUCAACUCCAGAACUGCCUUCGAUACUGAGAGUCUCGAGUCCGGGAGAGGUGAGUGGAACUGCGAGUGUAGAGGUGAAAUUCGUAGAUAUUCGCAAGAACACCAGUGGCGAAGGCGGCUCACUGGCCCGGUACUGACGCUGAGGUGCGAAAGCGUGGGGAGCAAACAGG